UACGGAGGGUGCUAGCGUUGUUCGGAAUUACUGGGCGUAAAGGGCGCGUAGGCGGCCGUUUGCGUCGGAUGUGAAAGCCCGGGGCUCAACCUCGGAACGGCAUUCGAUACGGGACGGCUGGAGACCGGGAGAGGAGAGUGGAAUAGCCAGUGUAGAGGUGAAAUGCGUAGAUAUCUGGAGGAACACCGGUGGCGAAGGCGGCAUCCUGGACCGACACUGACGCUGAGGAGCGAAAGCCAGGGGAGCAAACGGG
rnacentral:rRNA from 1 species